UACGGAGGGGGCUAGCGUUGUUCGGAAUUACUGGGCGUAAAGCGCACGUAGGCGGCUUUACAAGUCAGGGGUGAAAGCCCGCGGCUCAACCGCGGAAUUGCCCUUGAGACUGUAUCGCUUGAACACGGGAGAGGUGAGUGGAAUUCCGAGUGUAGAGGUGAAAUUCGUAGAUAUUCGGAAGAACACCAGUGGCGAAGGCGGCUCACUGGACCGUAGUUGACGCUGAGGUGCGAAAGCGUGGGGAGCGAACAGG
rnacentral:rRNA from 1 species